ACAGCAAAAUCACCAGUGUUAAAUUUUCAGGGAUGGUGUUAAAUACACAGUGUUGAUGCUGUUUUAACACUAUCUGGUAAUAAAAUAACACUGCCAUUGCUAGGCCAGUGUUAUAUUCACGACAGUGUCAGUGUAAAACAAGGGUGUUAUCAGAUUUCACUCUGAGCGGUGUAAAUCAAGCCACGCCUCCACUAAACAUAUCCUGUCAGGGAUUUUACCGCCAUUUUCUUUCACAGGAGGACUGAAGAGAUCAGGUAAAUCAGUCUCAUAAUAUUCACAUGGUUUAGCUAAAUUAAACUGUUAUUUCUCUGUCUGACUCUACGCAGCCAUAUGCCAAAAAACCUAAAUAAGAUAUUUUUCCCAUUUUAUUUCCCCUUUGUUCGUUAUUUGGUUCAGUUUAAUCAGAGCUACAUUGUGUUACGUUGUUCCCUUGUUAGUUUAGUAUAAAGUUAAACUGCUAGCUAAAAGUUUAAAACCAAGAAGGAUAAUUUUAACAGGAGAUAUGAAUGAAAGAAUUGAACCAUGAUAAAUGCACUACAAAUUGAAGGUAUGAAAUUAAGUUAAAUGAAAGCUCGUUUAUUCACCAUAUGAUGCUCGUUAUAAGGUAAUCAUAUAGGCUAGAUACCGUGAGUUAACGAGGUUGUUUACAUGCACGUGAGUGCACGGAUAUCGGUUAAUUAUUCAAAUUACUGAAAAACACGGAGAAAACCGCAACCGCAUCGUCAUGUGUUUUUCUAAGAUGUAUGCAAACAGGGGAAAUAUCGCCAAACCAACAAUUAAUUUGACCAAAACCUCACAAUAUAUCAUCAUUUGUAUGCACAGAUUGGAUGCAUUGUGUGUUGUAAGCUUUUCGUGGCGCUAGAUGUCAGACAGAUGCAAAUGGCAAAUACAUACGGAAGUGUAAAACGUGUAUGGCGAACAUUUGUUUUUUUUCUGUCAUUAUAGAUGCUAGUUUGGUGAAAGUUCACACUGAGUGCUUCAAAUCAUUCAGAAGAGAUGCUGUUUUUAGGGCAGUUUAUUAAAGAAGACCUGACAUGGAUGACUUUCAAUGAGAAACGACUGCUAAUACUUAUAUAAAUUCAUUACAGAAGGUAAGUUUAUAUAUUUAUACAUAUAAAUCAUUUUAUUUGACAUAACUGAACAGUUAACCAAUCUUUUUAGUAUAUGUAGUUUUGUACAUAUUAUUAUUAUUAUUAUUAUUAAUCUGGAAAGAAACUCACAUGACCUGAUGCCAACUUUAAUAAAAAUAUAUUAUCUUCUCAUACAUCGUUUUGCUAUUGAUGUCAUAUUAAAUAGCAAUCAAAUUGAUUACUAUUUUGAAAAUGUAUAAAUGAAGAUUCAUAUUUUGUCUUGAGUGCUGUUUUUAAUAUAAAAAGAAUGUUGAGUUUUCAGAGUCUUUAUUGUCAUUUUUUGUGAUAGGACCCUACCAGAGUAUAUUUGAAUACGGCAUACCCAUGAAUUCUGGAACUGUUAUUCCUUAACCCAGUUUGGAGGAUAAGAGCUUACCAACUAGUUAUAAAUAUGCUGAGGUGAUGUAUUGCAAAAUAGCCAACAUACAACAAUAUGGAUGACCCUCUGUCUGGUCAACAGGAGUUUAAAUAUGGACGGGACAGUGAUGUGGCAGCUCUUCCCUGGCUCAUUCACCUCUUGCCUUUCAUUUGUGAAAGGAAGAAAGACUGGAGAGGGUCAAUGUGCAACUGAAGCUACUGAUUGUGCGGUGUGAUGAGCAUCAAUCCAUGCUUUGAGGUGGAUGAAUCAGCACAGCCCUGCCUGCACUGCGUUGGGAACAGAAGUUGCAUCCAGAAUUUUUGCAUCAUUCUGGACCAAAAAGCCAUUCCCUCCAUGAUGAAGACCACUGAUGCAGCCUUCCACUACAUCAUGAGUAAAACAACUACAGAACUAAAUACCAGGUUGGAACCUAUUUAAGAAAAAUGAAACGUCUUUUGAAUUGAAAUGUCUGUUUUGUUAUGGAUAAAUCUUUAGUAUUGUGAAGGAUAAGCAUUUCUGCCUGCCAGUAAGGUAAUUGCAGUGUAUUUUAAUGUUCAAGUUUUGAGUAGGGUGGCUAAUUUUUUUUUUAACUCAUUUGAUUUAUUAAAGACCUUAUAAUAAGUGGUUUUCAUGUCACUGCGCUGUGGUAUAAGAUAACUUUCAUUAUUCCAUACUGUAUUCUGUUUCUAAUUGUAGCUGAGGUAUUUAAAUAAGCAGUGUUAAAUGCAAAGUGUUGUGUGUAUCAAUGUAAAUAUUAAAUGUGAUGUACUUUAAUAAAAAGAGGUUUUGCAAUAUUUCUUGUCAUUUGUCUUUUAUAGAAACAACCCAUUAGCAACAA